GGGGCAGUAGCUUAGUGGUAGAGCUCCUGAUUCUUAUGCGGGAAGACCUGGGUUCCAUUCCAGGCUGCUUCC
rfam:Toxocara canis scaffold391, whole genome shotgun sequence.